rnacentral:lncRNA from 1 species
CUUAGCACUGCACCAGUAACAGCCGAGGAGCUGUGGUUCAUACAUAAUGAAUAGCAAAACAUUCUGUUGCUUUAGUAAGAACUUUUUCAGUCCAAAAGUGGGCAGUGAAUUCAAACAAUUCGGUCAACGAAAUUCCAUGCUGUAUUAGAAAUGGCUCUGGGACACUACCAGAAAAAAAGUGCAAAUAAAAGAAACACAAGUCUCUUUAUUUAAAAAAACAUUUGCAUUAUUUACAGCUCUGCAUUUCAAUAUAAAAUUAUGUAUAUGCACAGCAUCAGUAUAAUUGCUGUUUUCUUUGUUCAUGGGCAUUGUUUGUGUUUAUGUACAAAUUCCCUCCACUUGCACAAUAAACUGAACAGCAUGGCAAGCAAUCCUGCUUCAUUUUGUACACACCUUUUCAGUGCAAGAGAGAAAAUAGCAUCUAUACUUCUCUGAAAAAUAACAUCUCUGAGCUUGACUGGAACAGGUCACUUUGUUGUGAACAUUGCACGUACUGUCACAUGUUGCUACUGUCGUACGAGUGUGAGACUACGCGACCAUACAAAUCUGCUGGUAAAAAAGAGAAUGCUGAAAAUUUUUUCUGAGGCUGCACAUCCACCAUUGCAGUGAAAUAAAAAUAUCAGUGUCACAUGCGUUACUGAAGGUUGGACAAAGGGCCAGCCAGACAUGAAGAGUUCCUGGUACUGCUCCCAUAAUCUAUUGUCAGUUUGAACAAUUGUGGCUGAUGUUGCAGUCCUACUGUGUGUAUAAUAGGCACUCCAGUAGUGCAGGUUGGAAGCAGAUUCUAACAUCCAACAUAUACACCAAGAUUCCACACACACA